GCAGUUUUCUUCACAUUUUUUCACAACGUCAAUCAACCUUGCUAUGUUAAACAGCCCGCGUGUCCUCAUCGCUGAUAGGCUCUGAGUCAACCGAAUCGUGAUCUGAUUGGACGGUGCGCUUGUCGCGUCAAAGCUUCACCGUCAGGUUGCGUAGCUCAGAGGAUUCAGGCUCUCAUUCGCACACACGCAGUCGAAGCGACAGCAUUGAAAGUCCGGAGUAUGGAGGCGACGAAAGCGCGUUUGAAAAAAGACAUUUGCAAUCAAACCUCUGGAGUGUGAACCUCAACAGCAGGUGGUCCACCCUUGGCAUACUAAUAAGAGAGGAGUGACACAUCACCAGAGCCCUGCAGCGGAGAUCCAGACAUCAUGAUGCAACGUAGUCGUUCGCAAGCAGACUGUAGACGUAAAACAUCUUCACACUGAUGUGUCAGGAGUCGAUGCCCAUGCACACUCUUUAUUGCAUGGUCAUCAUGCCAGGGGCAAAGAAACACAAGACUUUGGAAGAACAAACGUUUGUUUAUGCCUGUGGAUAGAGGGCUGCUUGGGUAAAACACUGAGAUGCUUUGAAGUGCCGUCCCACUAGUCUCUCAAAACAACUUCAGUUUGGUAUGGGGCAUCUACAGUAUAUGGCACACCUCUGAUGGACAACAUCGACAACUCAAAAUUUACCUUAUUUACUUGAUGCACAUUUCUAUUGUUGAUACAGGUAUACAUGAUUUAUAAGUGCACAUUGGUUCAAAUAAAAAACUUUUUGCAACAGUUA